GAUCUGGGCGGCUGACGCUGGCCGAAACCACAAUCCUCCCUCUGAUCUAGUCUGGGAGACACAGUCCAACUGGGGACCCGUAGGCCAGGUCCACUUUACCUUGAUCAACGCCAACGGAGAGGAAAUAAGGAUGAGCAAAGCCACUGGCGCACGUUUGGAAGAUGAUGAUGGAAAUUCCACUUCCACCGUGGGAUAGAGGAAAUGGAAUUUCGGUUUCUUGUGUGUCUUGACAUAUGAAGGGAUUGACAAUAAAGCAGACUUUGACUUUUGA